UGCACGCUCCUUAGAUCCAUUUCAUUUUCAAUAUGAAAUGCUUGAGUCAUAAGUGUGCUACAUUACGAUACCUCCAAAUUAAGACUGACAUGUGCUGUACUCAAGGUGCGGCACUUGUCUUGAAUUGGGGAACAU